rnacentral:rRNA from 1 species
AACGAACGCUGGCGGCAGGCUUAACACAUGCAAGUCGAACGGGAUCUUCGGAUCUAGUGGCGGACGGGUGAGUAACGCGUGGGAACGUGCCCUUUGGUUCGGAAUAGCCCUGGGAAACUGGGAGUAAUACCGGAUACGGUCGAGAGACGAAAGAUUUAUCGCCGAAGGAGCGGCCCGCGUUGGAUUAGGUAGUUGGUGGGGUAAAGGCCUACCAAGCCGACGAUCCAUAGCUGGUUUGAGAGGAUGAUCAGCCACACUGGGACUGAGACACGGCCCAGACUCCUACGGGAGGCAGCAGUGGGGAAUCUUAGACAAUGGGGGAAACCCUGAUCCAGCCAUGCCGCGUGAGUGAUGAAGGCCUUAGGGUUGUAAAGCUCUUUCGUGGGGGAAGAUAAUGACUGUACCCCAAGAAGAAGCCCCGGCUAACUCCGUGCCAGCCGCCGCCGUAAGAC